AUGAACGCUGGCGGCGUGCUUAACACAUGCAAGUCGAACGGAAAGGCCCAAGCUUGCUUGGGUACUCGAGUGGCGAACGGGUGAGUAACACGUGGGUGAUCUGCCCUGCACUUCGGGAUAAGCCUGGGAAACUGGGUCUAAUACCGGAUAGGACCACUUCUUGGAUGUUGUGGUGGAAAGUUUUUUCGGUGUGGGAUGAGCUCGCGGCCUAUCAGCUUGUUGGUGGGGUAAUGGCCUACCAAGGCGUCGACGGGUAGCCGGCCUGAGAGGGUGUACGGCCACAUUGGGACUGAGAUACGGCCCAGACUCCUACGGGAGGCAGCAGUGGGGAAUAUUGCACAAUGGGCGCAAGCCUGAUGCAGCGACGCCGCGUGGGGGAUGACGGCCUUCGGGUUGUAAACUCCUUUCGCUAGGGACGAAGCGUUUUGUGACGGUACCUGGAGAAGAAGCACCGGCUAACUACGU
rnacentral:rRNA from 1 species